GUUGACCUCGGAUCAGGUAGGAAUACCCGCUGAACUUAAGCAUAUCAAUAAGCGGAGGAAAAGAAACCAACAGGGAUUGCCCCAGUAACGGCGAGUGAAGCGGCAACAGCUCAAAUUUGAAAUCUGGCCCCCCGGGUCCGAGUUGUAAUUUGUAGAGGAUGCUUUUGGUGAGGUGCCGCCCGAGUUCCCUGGAACGGGACGCCACAGAGGGUGAGAGCCCCGUCUGGCUGGCCACCGAGCCUCUGUAAAGCUCCUUCGACGAGUCGAGUAGUUUGGGAAUGCUGCUCAAAAUGGGAGGUAUAUGUCUUCUAAAGCUAAAUAUUGGCCAGAGACCGAUAGCGCACAAGUAGAGUGAUCGAAAGAUGAAAAGCACCUUGAAAAGAGGGUUAAAUAGUACGUGAAAUUGUUGAAAGGGAAGCGCUUGUGACCAGACUUGGGCGCGGCGGAUCAUCCGGGGUUCUCCCCGGUGCACUUCGCCGCGUUCAGGCCAGCAUCAGUUCGUCGCGGGGGAUAAAGGCUUCGGGAACGUGGCUCCUCCGGGAGUGUUAUAGCCCGUUGCAUAAUACCCUGCGGUGGACUGAGGACCGCGCAUCUGCAAGGAUGCUGGCGUAAUGGUCACCAGCGACCCGUCUUGAAACACGGACCAAGGAGUCGUCUUCGUAUGCGAGUGUUCGGGUGUCAAACCCCUACGCGUAAUGAAAGUGAACGCAGGUGAGAGCUUCGGCGCAUCAUCGACCGAUCCUGAUGUUCUCGGACGGAUUUGAGUAAGAGCAUACGGGGCCGGACCCGAAAGAAGGUGAACUAUGCCUGUAUAGGGUGAAGCCAGAGGAAACUCUGGUGGAGGCUCGCAGCGGUUCUGACGUGCAAAUCGAUCGUCAAAUAUGGGCAUGGGGGCGAAAGACUAAUCGAACCUUCUAGUAGCUGGUUUCCGCCGAAGUUUCCCUCAGGAUAGCAGUGUUGAG
rnacentral:rRNA from 1 species